AUGAUGGAGUCCAAGCUAAUGGGAAACAAGAUUGAGUGGCUGAAGAAGUGCACUUCAUGGGUUGCUGGUCCUUGUACAUCCUGGACCCCGAGAAGGAGAUCUUCACGGUCUUGGACCCAGCUGAGACACACCCUACUGAUGAGAUGGAAAGGAAGCACAUCGCCAAUGCAAAAAGAUUCUAGCUUCUAUUCUGCCAAUGCUUCAGAGACAUAUUCGGUGGCUGGUUGGUUGAAGUGGAAGGAUGGACUUUCCUGUAUGCCUUUAUGUCCCAGCAUGAUCCUUGCGCUAGGGAGGAGAGAAGCGUUUACAUUGUGCACUACAUCCAUGAGUUCAAUGGGCUCUACCUGCGAUCUAUCAUCAGAGGAUAAGUAUCGGGCAUCACAUUUUGAUGAAUGUUGUAGUAACUUGUGA
rnacentral:rRNA from 1 species